rnacentral:RNase_P_RNA from 1 species
AAGCCAGCGUACGAGGAAAGUCCGGGCCCCAUAGAGCAAGGAUGCUUGAUAACGUCAAGUGAGGGAAACCUUAAGGAAAGUGCAACAGAAAAUAACCGCCAUUAUUAUAAUUAUUAUAAUGGUAAGGAUGAAAAGGCGAGGUAAGAGCUCACCGUAGGGAUAGUGAUACCCCUAGCCGUGUAAACCCCAUCUGGAGCAACACCGAGACAAGAAGGUUAAGACUGCUCGUCAUCUUCUUAAUUUGGUGGCUUAAGCUAUAUAGCAAUAUAUAGAAUAGAUAAAUGACCAUUCUCGACAGAACCCGGCUUACAGAUUUGCU